GUCGCUUUCCAAAUAUAAUCCGUAAUUACUGAGACAAAUAGAACCCAAAUUUGAAUAAUUUAUUACUAAUGUCGCUCAUUGUCAUAAUGUAAUAAAUAGACAAAUAAAAUAAGAUUUUUUUCUUUUUCUUUAUCUUACUGCUUUAAAAUAAAGCUCGAGUGAUUUUGUUUCUGAAAAUAAGAAAGUGAGGGGAGAUAGUGGAAAGAAGAAAACA